UACGAAGGUCCCAAGCGUUGUUCGGAAUCACUGGGCGUAAAGCGUGUGUAGGCUGCGCGGAAAGUCAAAUGUGAAAGCCCAGGGCUUAACCCUGGAACUGCAUUCGAUGCUCCCGUGCUUGAGUAAUGGAGAGGUAAGUGGAAUUCCCGGUGUAGCAGUGAAAUGCGUAGAUAUCGGGAGGAACAGCAAUGGCGAAGGCAGCUUACUGGACAUUUACUGACGCUCAGACACGAAGGCCAGGGGAGCGAAAGGG
rnacentral:rRNA from 1 species